UCCAUUGAAGCGCAUUCCGAGCUUUCCAACUCCAUUGUAGCAGCUUUGAGUUAUCAAGCUUAAAGAUUCGGGCACGAAGACCCCAUUCAUUGCUGAAGCUUGUAUCUUGCGGAAAGUGUCUCUCUUUCAGGUCGCCAAGAUUCAUAUGUGAAUUGAAGCACAAGUUUAGCUUGAAGACUACAAAUUUAGCUCAAUUGUGGUGAUUACAUCUCAUGGCGGACGAUCAGGACCGUAUUUAUGUCGAGGAUGUAGAGGAUGAUGAUGAUGAUUUCUCUGAGGAUGAGGAUGGUGAUGAGCUGUAUGAUGUGAACAAGGAAGCCUGAUUUGGGUGAGACAGAAGAUCAGGCUCAGGAUGAGUUCGAGCGUAGGUUGGAUGAAUUUGAAAUUUCGGCUGAACUAGCGCCUCCUAUUGAAAAUGCAGUUGCUGAGACGGUUGGUGAGAACGCUA